GAGAGUAUAGCUCAGUGGUAGAGUAUGUGCUUAGUAUGCAUGAGGUCCUGGGUUCAAUCCCCAGUACCUCCA
rnacentral:tRNA from 1 species